UACGGAGGGUGCGAGCGUUGUCCGGAAUCACUGGGCGUAAAGGGCGCGUAGGCGGCUUCUCAAGCGUGUGGUGAAAGUCCGGGGCUCAACCCCGGAUCGGCCGUGCGGACUGGGGAGCUCGAGUUCUGUAGAGGCGGGUGGAAUUCCGGGUGUAGCGGUGGAAUGCGUAGAGAUCCGGAAGAACAUCGGUGGCGAAGGCGGCCCGCUGGGCCGAGAGUACGUGACGCUGACGGCUGCGACAGCGUGG
rnacentral:rRNA from 1 species